UACGUAGGGGGCAAGCGUUACCCGGAUUCACUGGGCGUAAAGCGCGUGUAGGCGGCUGGCCAAGCGUGGUGUGAAAUCUCCGGGCUCAACCCGGAAACUGCACUGCGAACUGGCCUGGCUGGAGUGCAGGAGAGGGAUGCGGAAUUCACGGUGUAGCGGUGAAAUGCGUAGAUAUCAGGAGGAACACCGGUGGCGAAGGCGCCACUCUGGGCCGAAACUGACGCUGAGGAGCGAAAGCGUGGGUAGCAAACAGG
rnacentral:rRNA from 1 species